AGUGGCGCUAGCGGCGGACCCGGCUAGGCAGUUCCUUCCCAGAAGGAGAGAUUCCUCUGCCAUGGAGUCCUACGAUGUGAUCGCCAACCAGCCUGUCGUGAUCGACAACGGAUCCGGUGUGAUUAAAGCUGGUUUUGCUGGUGAUCAGAUCCCCAAAUACUGCUUUCCAAACUAUGUCGGCCGACCAAGCAUGUUCGUGUCAUGGCAGGAGC